rnacentral:rRNA from 1 species
GGGACACCGAGUGCCAGCAUCAUAUGUUGGCUGUCCUGAUGUGUAAAAUACAUCUGUUAGCAAGGGCCGGGCAAGACCGGUGCCAGCCGCCGCGGUAACACCGGCGGCCCGAGUGGUGAUCGUGAUUAUUGGGUCUAAAGGGUCCGUAGCCGGUUUGGUCAGUCCUCCGGGAAAUCUGACGGCUCAACCGUUAGGCUUUCGGUGGAUACUGCCAGACUUGGAACCGGGAGAGGUAAGAGGUACUACAGGGAUAGGAGUGAAAUCUUGUAAUCCCUGUGAGACCACCUGUGGCGAAGGCGUCUUACCAGAACGGGUUCGACGGUGAGGGACGAAAGCUGGGGGCACGAACCGGAUUAGAUACCCGGGUAGUCCCAGCCGUAAACGAUGCUCGCUAGGUGUCAGGCAUGGCGCGACCGUGUCUGGUGCCGCAGGGAAGCCGUGAAGCGAGCCACCUGGGAAGUACGGCCGCAAGGCUGAAACUUAAAGGAAUUGGCGGGGGAGCACAACAACGGGUGGAGCCUGCGGUUUAAUUGGACUCAACGCCGGACAACUCACCGGGGACGACAGCAAUAUGUAGGCCAGGCUAAAGACCUUGCCUGAAUCGCUGAGAGGAGGUGCAUGGCCGUCGCCAGUUCGUACUGUGAAGCAUCCUGUUAAGUCAGGCAACGAGCGAGACCCGUGCCCACUGUUACCAGCAUGUCCUCCGGGACGAUGGGUACUCUGUGGGGACCGCCGAUGUUAAAUCGGAGGAAGGUGCGGGCUACGGUAGGUCAGUAUGCCCCGAAUUUCCCGGGCUACACGCGGGCUACAAUGAAUGGGACAAUGGGUCCCUACCCCGAGAGGGGUUGGUAAUCUCCCAAACCCAUCCGUAGUUCGGAUCGAGGGCUGUAACUCGCCCUCGUGAAGCUGGAAUCCGUAGUAAUCGCGUUUCAAUAUAGCGCGGUGAAUACGUCCCUGCUCCUUGCACACACCGC